AGCCCAGAGCCUGAAUCAGUGUGUGUGUUAGUGGAAGCGUCUGGAAAGGCGCGCGAUACAGGGUGACAGCCCCGUACACAAAAAUGCACAUACUGUGAGCUCGAUGAGUAGGGCGGGACACGUGGUAUCCUGUCUGAAUAUGGGGGGACCAUCCUCCAAGGCUAAAUACUCCUGACUGACCGAUAGUGAACCAGUACCGUGAGGGAAAGGCGAAAAGAACCCCGGCGAGGGGAGUGAAAAAGAACCUGAAACCGUGUACGUACAAGCAGUGGGAGCCUCUUUUAUGGGGUGACUGCGUACCUUUUGUAUAAUGGGUCAGCGACUUAUAUUCUGUAGCAAGGUUAACCGAAUAGGGGAGCCGAAGGGAAACCGAGUCUUAACUGGGCGUUAAGUUGCAGGGUAUAGACCCGAAACCCGGUGAUCUAGCCAUGGGCAGGUUGAAGGUUGGGUAACACUAACUGGAGGACCGAACCGACUAAUGUUGAAAAAUUAGCGGAUGACUUGUGGCUGGGGGUGAAAGGCCAAUCAAACCGGGAGAUAGCUGGUUCUCCCCGAAAGCUAUUUAGGUAGCGCCUCGUGAAUUCAUCUCCGGGGGUAGAGCACUGUUUCGGCAAGGGGGUCAUCCCGACUUACCAACCCGAUGCAAACUGCGAAUACCGGAGAAUGUUAUCACGGGAGACACACGGCGGGUGCUAACGUCCGUCGUGAAGAGGGAAACAACCCAGACCGCCAGCUAAGGUCCCAAAGUCAUGGUUAAGUGGGAAACGAUGUGGGAAGGCCCAGACAGCCAGGAUGUUGGCUUAGAAGCAGCCAUCAUUUAAAGAAAGCGUAAUAGCUCACUGGUCGAGUCGGCCUGCGCGGAAGAUGUAACGGGGCUAAACCAUGCACCGAAGCUGCGGCAGCGACACUGUGUGUUGUUGGGUAGGGGAGCGUUCUGUAAGCCUGUGAAGGUGUGCUGUGAGGCAUGCUGGAGGUAUCAGAAGUGCGAAUGCUGACAUAAGUAACGAUAAAGCGGGUGAAAAGCCCGCUCGCCGGAAGACCAAGGGUUCCUGUCCAACGUUAAUCGGGGCAGGGUGAGUCGACCCCUAAGGCGAGGCCGAAAGGCGUAGUCGAUGGGAAACAGGUUAAUAUUCCUGUACUUGGUGUUACUGCGAAGGGGGGACGGAGAAGGCUAUGUUGGCCGGGCGACGGUUGUCCCGGUUUAAGCGUGUAGGCUGGUUUUCCAGGCAAAUCCGGAAAAUCAAGGCUGAGGCGUGAUGACGAGGCACUACGGUGCUGAAGCAACAAAUGCCCUGCUUCCAGGAAAAGCCUCUAAGCAUCAGGUAACAUCAAAUCGUACCCCAAACCGACACAGGUGGUCAGGUAGAGAAUACCAAGGCGCUUGAGAGAACUCGGGUGAAGGAACUAGGCAAAAUGGUGCCGUAACUUCGGGAGAAGGCACGCUGAUAUGUAGGUGAAGUCCCUCGCGGAUGGAGCUGAAAUCAGUCGAAGAUACCAGCUGGCUGCAACUGUUUAUUAAAAACACAGCACUGUGCAAACACGAAAGUGGACGUAUACGGUGUGACGCCUGCCCGGUGCCGGAAGGUUAAUUGAUGGGGUCAGCGCAAGCGAAGCUCUUGAUCGAAGCCCCGGUAAACGGCGGCCGUAACUAUAACGGUCCUAAGGUAGCGAAAUUCCUUGUCGGGUAAGUUCCGACCUGCACGAAUGGCGUAAUGAUGGCCAGGCUGUCUCCACCCGAGACUCAGUGAAAUUGAACUCGCUGUGAAGAUGCAGUGUACCCGCGGCAAGACGGAAAGACCCCGUGAACCUUUACUAUAGCUUGACACUGAACAUUGAGCCUUGAUGUGUAGGAUAGGUGGGAGGCUUUGAAGUGUGGACGCCAGUCUGCAUGGAGCCGACCUUGAAAUACCACCCUUUAAUGUUUGAUGUUCUAACGUGGACCCGUGAUCCGGGUUGCGGACAGUGUCUGGUGGGUAGUUUGACUGGGGCGGUCUCCUCCUAAAGAGUAACGGAGGAGCACGAAGGUUGGCUAAUCCUGGUCGGACAUCAGGAGGUUAGUGCAAUGGCAUAAGCCAGCUUGACUGCGAGCGUGACGGCGCGAGCAGGUGCGAAAGCAGGUCAUAGUGAUCCGGUGGUUCUGAAUGGAAGGGCCAUCGCUCAACGGAUAAAAGGUACUCCGGGGAUAACAGGCUGAUACCGCCCAAGAGUUCAUAUCGACGGCGGUGUUUGGCACCUCGAUGUCGGCUCAUCACAUCCUGGGGCUGAAGUAGGUCCCAAGGGUAUGGCUGUUCGCCAUUUAAAGUGGUACGCGAGCUGGGUUUAGAACGUCGUGAGACAGUUCGGUCCCUAUCUGCCGUGGGCGCUGGAGAACUGAGGGGGGCUGCUCCUAGUACGAGAGGACCGGAGUGGACGCAUCACUGGUGUUCGGGUUGUCAUGCCAAUGGCACUGCCCGGUAGCUAAAUGCGGAAGAGAUAAGUGCUGAAAGCAUCUAAGCACGAAACUUGCCCCGAGAUGAGUUCUCCCUGACCCUUUAAGGGUCCUGAAGGAACGUUGAAGACGACGACGUUGAUAGGCCGGGUGUGUAAGCGCAGCGAUGCGUUGAGCUAACCGGUACUAAUGAACCGUGAGGCUUAACCUUACAACGCCGAAGGUGUUU
rnacentral:rRNA from 1 species